UCCUUAGGCUGGACCUGUAGUGGCGGAGCUCCCUCCACCACCUCCUCCGGUGGAGCCUCCUGUGGAGAGUGCCUGGGUGCGAGGUCUAAGGCAUGCUAAAGAGGUGUUGAAGAAGGCCACCAUCCGUAAGGAGCAAGAGCCUGACUUUGAGGAGAAGCGCUUUAAUGUGACCAUCGGAGAGGUGCAUGGACCAGGAAGACGGGUGGUGAGCGGUGACACAACGCAGAGACGACUCCAGAUCCUGGUUGGUCCGUUCUGUCUGGCCAUGCGUCUGCGGAUGGUAACCAGAGGAGAGACUAGCUGUGGACCCCAGCGCCCGACAGAAAGCCUUCUAGACCUGUGACGAGAACUGCGGCCCUCUGUCGAACACUAUAUCAAGGGGAAUGCCGUAGAGUCAGAAAACAUGAAGGACCAGGAGGUCAGCAGUCUGUAUGGCCAAAGGCAAUUUGGGGACAGGAAUAAAAUACACCGCCUUGGACAACCGGUCGACAACCGUUAAAAUGGUGGUAUUGCCCCCAGGCAGAGGCAGGCCCGUCACAAAAUCCACAGCGAUGUGAGGCCAUGGACGGUCUGGGAUAGGCAAUGGUCGCAACUGACCAGCCGGGGUUUGAUGGGAUGCCCUGCUGCAAGCACAAACUGAACAAGCUGAUACAAAUGCACGUGUGUCCCAUGGCAUGGAUGGCCACCAAAACUGUUGGCGAACAAAGGCAAGUGUGCGGUGGAACCCAGGAUGGCAAGUAAGUUUGGAGGAGUGUUCCCACUGUAGUACCUGAGAUCUGACUGUGUCUGGUACAAACAAAUGGUUGGGAGGACCACCACCUGGAUCUGGAUGAGAUCACUGGGCCUUCUGGACGAGAGCCUCUACUCCCCACGUGACUGUGGCCAACGGGGAGAAGGGGGGAAGAAUCAGCUCAGGCUCGAAGGCGGGUCCUUCUGUGGUGGACUGCCGAGAGAGAGCAUCAGGCUUGAUGUUGCGUGACCCAAGCCGGUAGGUGAGGGUGAAAUUGAACCUUCCAAGGUACAAAGAUGGAGAGGGCUUUUGGCCCAGCUACAAGAUGGACGAAAGAGUGGACAGGGCCGUGAAGAAUGCUGAGAAGCCUGGAGCUGACCGGCAGACCUAUGACAGCAGGAUCAUUACGGUAAUUACUUGGGAGGCCAGGCAAAGGAUGAAAAUUCAUAUGUCAUGCAGCAUAUCCGAUCUGCAGUCAGAGGAGGAUGACAUUUGUAAGAAAGGAAAGCCAAUCUUAGUGUGAGUAAAUAUAUUUGAUUCUCAGCCAAAUUAUCUCGAAGACACUACCCCUACGUAAGUAACUCAUCUUUCUUGGCCGUGAAACAAACGGUCACAUUUUGCAUCUUGUCACGGUAAGCGUGUUGUGUCACUUUCUGUUGCCAGCGUGUCUGAUGUCAUCGAACUUUUCACAGCUCUACUGAGUUGAUUGUGUCAUGAUAUUUUUCAGUACAAGCAGUGAAUUAUCUGUUAUCGCCUGACGUUGUUUAGCGUCAACGUUACUUCUAUUAGCAUUAGCUAACAUUGCAUUAGCCUAGCAGCUAACUGUUAUAUUAUUAAAAAAUAAUCAUGCACGCUUACGCUAGAAUGAAAUUACACUUCAACUAUAAAUGCAUAGUAAUAAUGGGUGAAAACCGCUUAAAGGCCAGAUUGCACGAACCCCAGAACACGAACAUUUUGCUAAAAAGCUGCACGCACUAUCUGAGUCAAAUGCAGAAAAACAGGAAACACAUUAUCUCCAUAUUGAGAAUAACACGUCCAUACAUGGAACUGCACAACACAUACAUUGCAAACAUCCUGAUAUGUAGUGAACUCAUGAACAACGAGAGGCGUGAUGAUCCGAGAGCCUAGAGGGGUAGACCUCCUUGACCCCCACCAGUCAGGUUUCAAGGCAGGCCACUCCACAGAGACUGCUCUCCUUGCUGUC